UUUUCUGCUUUUACUGUAACCUUCAUAAGUUUGCUAACUUGUUUGCCUUCCUUUCUUCCCAUCAGUUCAUUUUGGUGAGACUUCUUGAAUGAUUUCUUUAACAGCGGUAUUUAGAGAAAAUCCUACUUUUCUUCUUUAUUUCCCCUCCUUAUAUAUGUUGACCUUUUAAGAAAACUGUCAUUGUCCUUUGCUUUACUCAGGUGAGACAAAAAUGAGUCCCCUCAUGUAAGUAUAUGAGGGAUAGUUUUGUAAUACAUUAAUUCCACCUCCUCCUUAUCACUUCAAGGUAGUUUGCCUUCAAGUGUACUAUUUUAGCUUAGGUUUUUGAAAGAUAUGAUGCUUUCCAGUUGCCAAGUGAACAUAAAAUAUAACUGCAUCAAUUAGGAGUUGAUAGGUAUGAAAAACUAAACUACUACUAAGAAUAUUAAAUUAAAUCUAUUAAAAUUCAAUUGAGCAGGAUCCUGUAAAGAGGACAGAUGGGAAAAUAUGUGUGCUAAACAAAAAGACUGUGGGGCUGAUUACUUCUGUCUGUGGAGGAUGGGGUGACACGUUUUAUGUUGCCCUUGUUGCUAUAUCUAAGUACUUGUACACUUUAUCCUUCUCUGGUAACUCCCUCCCUUAAUCUCAAACCACUUAAAAGUGCUGGGAACUUAAUAUUUUUUUACUUCGUCUAAGGAGGAGAAUCUGUAUUUUAGUCAGAGGUAAAUAUCAGACAAUUGGAAUACCAUUCAAAGUGGAAGAAUAGGAGCCUACAGACAGGCUUCCAAGUUUCCUGAUGCAGUAUUUUAUUUCCUGUGACACCUGUAAAGAAUUAGCACUUGUUUCAGACUUUUUUCUGUGUACAUUAAUAACUCUUCUAUAUCAGCAUAAAAUAGUCUACUGUUCAUAUUCUCAAUUUAUAUUUUCCUGAAACACAGCAAAUUUAUCAGCAAUACCAUAAAUUGCAGCUUCAAAUUAAGGUGGGAGGGGAUAAUUUUAGAGCCAAAUUUUGCUCUCAAUUACACUGAGAUAAACCUGGAAUCGCUCUGUGAAAGUCAGUGGAGUGAUAUCCAAUUUGACUGGUAUAAUUGAGUGUCUAAUUUGUGUCUUUAAUUUUACUUGCAAGAUAAUUUUACAGACCUGUUAUACUUAUGUUUCCAAUGCUUUUUCCUUUCAGACACACCCACUUCUUGCGUCUCAGCACUGGGCAGGCCUAUUCCUUUAUUUGUGUAUAUUUUUGUGCAUCAGCUGCUAUAGGACACGGGUGUAACGCUUUCAGGCAUGUGGUUGGGUGUCUUUUUGGGGGAAAGAUUUCUGGGUUUGUAAUAAUGUCUAAAAAAAAGAAUUUCAUUUCCUCAAAUUUGUUGAACAAAUUCAUGUUGGCUCACAGUUUUGCAUCUCUGACCUGAUUUUAUAUAUAUUACAUGAAGAUUUUCUUGAAAGAAAGACAAUGCUAGUUCUUUGCAGUGUCUGCAAAUUACCUUUGGUGGGGAGAGUUGAUCAAAAUUUACUGCAUUCUGCAGAAGUUAAUGUCUUAAUAUUUAAUGUUGCUGGAAAGGUGGGUUUUUUACAUAUCAUGCUCCUUCCUCUUUACGGAAUGGCUUUCAAAUCCUUGUAUUGAUCUUGGUUGUGCCCAGUGCUUUGCCUAGCGUAUGGGGAAAUGUUGUAGAACUUGAAUAAGCCAUGACAUCUUAGACAGAGGAUGGUGAUUAUGUGCGUGCUGAACAAGAACUUCUUCUGUAUGCCCUUCUGCUGCAACAGAGUAAUAAAACUGGUAGGUGGCAGCAGCAGCAGAAGAAACUCAUGUGACUGUGACCUGACAAACCUCCAGUACUGGGAGAAAUGGAUUGCAAAAUAUUAACUGAAGUAAGGGGGACGGAGGAGAGAGGCAGAGUCCCUGAACUGUCUCUUUGAAUGGAAUGUAAUGCUUGUGAAAGAUGCUGGAUCAACAGUUGCAGAGAUUGAACUCCUCUACCCACAGGAAAGGUUUUUCUACACCAGCAGGAGGUCUUCUGUCUUACGGGGACACUUAUCUCUUGAUAUGCCCCCUUCACAAUGAAAGGAAGAAAGGAUGGACCAGCAGCAUUGUGGAAUGGGGUGAUGUCCACACUUGGGGUUAACAGUCGUAAUGAACACUGUCCUACUAACAUGGAGAACUGAAUAAAAGAGUUGAAUUCUGAUUCAA